rnacentral:rRNA from 1 species
UACGUAGGGGGCAAGCGUUGUCCGGAAUCAUUGGGCGUAAAGCGCGUGUAGGCGGUCCGGUAAGUCCGCUGUGAAAGUCGAGGGCUCAACCCUCGAAUGCCGGUGGAUACUGUCGGGCUAGAGUACGGAAGAGGCGAGUGGAAUUCCUGGUGUAGCGGUGAAAUGCGCAGAUAUCAGGAGGAACACCACUUGCGAAGGCAGCUCGCUGGGACGUUACUGACGCUGAGACGCGAAAGCGUGGGGAGCAAACAGG